rnacentral:rRNA from 1 species
CAACCGCAAAAGAAGCAGAGGGGGCUUAGUGGUGGGGUGACUGCGUACCUUUUGUAUAAUGGGUCAGCGACUUAUAUUCUGUAGCAAGGUUAACCGAAUAGGGGAGCCGGAGGGAAACCGAGUCUUAAUUGGGCGUUAAGUUGCAGGGUAUAGACCCGAAACCCGGUGAUCUAGCCAUGGGCAGGUUGAAGGUUGGGUAACACUAACUGGAGGACCGAACCGACUAAUGUUGAAAAAUUAGCGGAUGACCUGUGGCUGGGGGUGAAAGGCCAAUCAAACCGGGAGAUAGCUGGUUCUCCCCGAAAGCUAUUUAGGUAGCGCCUCGUGAAUUCAUCUCCGGGGGUAGAGCACUGUUUCGGCUAGGGGGCCAUCCCGGCUUACCAACCCGAUGCAAACUGCGAAUACCGGAGAAUGUUAUCACGGGAGACACACGGCGGGUGCUAACGUCCGUCGUGAAGAGGGAAACAACCCAGACCGCCAGCUAAGGUCCCAAAGUCAUGGUUAAGUGGGAAACGAUGUGGGAAGGCCCAGACAGCCAGGAUGUUGGCUUAGAAGCAGCCAUCAUUUAAAGAAAGCGUAAUAGCUCACUGGUCGAGUCGGCCUGCGCGGAAGAUGUAACGGGGCUAAACCAU